UGCCGCGUGAGUGAAGAAGGCCUUCGGGUUGUAAAGCUCUUUCAGCCGGGAAGAAAACGCAUGGGUUAAUACCCUGUGUGGAUGACGGUACCGGAAUAAGAAGCACCGGCUAACUACGUGCCAGCAGCCGCGGUAAUACGUAGGGUGCGAGCGUUAAUCGGAAUUACUGGGCGUAAAGCGUGCGCAGGCGGUUUUGUAAGACAGGCGUGAAAUCCCCGGGCUCAACCUGGGAACUGCGUUUGUGACUGCAAGGCUAGAGUAUGGCAGAGGGGGGUGGAAUUCCACGUGUAGCAGUGAAAUGCGUAGAGAUGUGGAGGAACACCGAUGGCGAAGGCAGCCCCCUGGGCCAAUACUGACGCUCAUGCACGAAAGCGUGGGUAGCAAACAGGAUUAGAUACCCUGGUAGUCCACGCCCUAAACGAUGUCAACUAGGUGUUGGGUGGGUAAAACCAUUUAGUACCGGAGCUAACGCGUGAAGUUGACCGCCUGGGGAGUACGGCCGCAAGGUUAAAACUCAAAGGAAUUGACGGGGACCCGCACAAGCGGUGGAUGAUGUGGAUUAAUUCGAUGCAACGCGAAAAACCUUACCUACCCUUGACAUGUCCAGAAGCCCUUAGAGAUUU
rnacentral:rRNA from 1 species